rnacentral:hammerhead_ribozyme from 1 species
AUACAGCUGACGAAUCCCGAAAAGGAUUAAAUGCGCGUCCUGGAU